UGCUUCGGCCGCUCCCGCCCGCAGCCCCGACGGGGCCCACAGUUGGGAGCGGGCUGGGCGUGCCUGGGGUGAGGGGAAGAGCUGGGCUAAGCCGUCCUAGGCGCCGGAGGGGAGCCAGAGGUUGCUGAGCUGUGAGGGAGAGGCGGACGACCAGAGAUAGAGAUACCCAGGCGCAGGUGUUUUCAGACGGGCACCUUGUUGGCAAAGAGGUUAGGGUUACAAAGAAUGUUGCUUUCAUGAACUUGCUAUAUAAGAAGUCGGCCCUGAAUGUAAUCAGGGGGACAAGGAGGACGCAAAAGGUCCCGUCCACUGAGGACAGGUGUCAGGAGUUGAAGAUGA
rnacentral:lncRNA from 1 species